GAAUCAAAAUUUUAUUUUGCCGGGUCAAAUUCGAAUUCAAGAACAACUUUUUUGAAUUAAAAAAAUUAAACCAAAACAAAAGUUAUCCAGUUCAAUUCCUUUUCUAGUCUAGGAAUCACAAUUUUCACACAACCCAAUUGAAAACCAAAUCAAUGUCUGAAAGGAUGGUGCGGAGGCUUGAGAAAUUACUUGGAGAUAUGGAAUAUACAAUAUAUAGGAUGGAUUCAAAAUUGAAUGAAUUUCAUAGGGAUCAAUAUGUUGAGGUGUCUAACGUGCGGGGACGGGAUAAAUUGGAGCCUAGGAUGAAAAAUUGUGAGACAUAUGGAUAUGGUUGUGACAUGGAUGGUGAUGCGAUGUUUGGGGCUGAUUUACGGGAAAUGAAAAAUAUUGGCAAUAGGUUUGUAGAAUGGGAUAGAAAUUAUUUUGGAUAUGGUAUAGAUAAGAGUAUAAAAACGACAAUUCAAAAAUUUAAGGGUAGAAAUGAUCCCGAGGCAUACGUGACGUGGGAAGAAAAGAUUGAAUUAUUGUUUGAGAGCUAUGAUUAUUCCAGGGAGAACAAGUUGAAAUUGGUUGUGAGCUCAUUCAUUGAUUAUGCAAUAACUUGGUUGGAUGAGUUUACGAUAUCUAGGCGAAGGACCGGUGAGAGGUGUAUUGAAACUUGGGAUGAGUUGAGGCAUAUUUUGAGGAGAUGAUAUGUGCCAAAUCAUUAUAGGAGGGAUCGACGAGAAAUAGAAUUUGGGGAGAAGCCUAGGAGAUUUUAUGGGGAUGAGUAUCCAAGGGAAAAGAAAACGCCUAUUGCGAGGUGUGCGGUAGGUCAUCAAGUAAGGGUGUUCAGUUGGAUUAUAAGCGGGAAUUGAUGGAGAUUCGUGACUUGAUAAAUUCUCAAAUUAAUCACGUUGUGGAGCAAAGUUGUAAAAGAGAAAAUUGUAAGGUGGUUGAUUGUGAGAAAAACGGUGAAGAGCCAUGAAAAAGUGAAAAGAAAGCCGAGAGUGAAAAUGAAAAGAUGGAAUUGGAGUUACGGGGUGAAAAUGAAGAAGAGUCUUCUGAGAUGAAAGAAGGGAUGGAAGUGUGUUUAAAUGAAAGGGAGAGUGGAGUUGAGGAGGCAUUGGCGAUAACUAACAAUUCCCUCCCUAUUUUGAAUAAUUUUGUUUUGCAGGUUACCGAAGAUUUAAUUCUAGAAAUUAAUUCAAUUGGAAUCCGUUACAAGCCGAGCAUCGAGCAUCAAUUGGUGGAUAGAAUUCAACAACAACAUUUUGACUUGGAGAUAUCUUAUUUAUUAGAAGUUGACUUUGUGAUUCCCGAGGAGACAAAGGAAUUUCAAAUGCAUUGGUCAAAGUUCAUAUGUAGAGAGUUGAAUGACGAAGAUGAACUGAGGGGCAACAUUGGAACGUCAACAGUGACAUUGUUUCAAGUGCGUGGUCCAAGUAAAUCAAGGAGAAUGCAUGGAUAUUCAUUAGAUGGAGUUGCUAUUGGAGCAUUCCAAACUUGCAAGAUCAAGCAGUCGAGGCGAGCACACUUUGAUCCAGGUGAAGAUGAUUGGGUUCACAACCGAAGGCGGCGAGUUUGAGUUCAAAGGAGGUCCAAAUUACAUCUGAGAGGUGAUAGGCCAUUUCAUGUUCUUGCAAUGAUUGGAGAUAAAUGCUACAAUUUGGAUGAUCAAGGUUCAAAUUCGAGGUUGAAUCCUUUCGAAGAGAGAGGAAAUGAUGUGAUCCGCAUAACGCAAUUUUGGGACAUAAUUUUCAGAAAUUUCGCAAGUUUCCUAUUUUGAUUAGAAGUCUAAUCUUUUGCCAUAUUUAAGUUAUUUUGGAUUUUUUUUUUCAAUUUUAAUUAGAUUCUAAGGUUUUAGUAUAAAU
rnacentral:lncRNA from 1 species